rnacentral:rRNA from 1 species
GAUGAACGCUGGCGGCGUGCUUAACACAUGCAAGUCGAACGGUGAACACGGAGCUUGCUCUGUGGGAUCAGUGGCGAACGGGUGAGUAACACGUGAGCAACCUGCGCCUGACUCUGGGAUAAGCGCUGGAAACGGCGUCUAAUACUGGAUACGAGACGUGAUCGCAUGGUCAACGUCUGGAAAGAAUCUCGGUUGGGGAUGGGCUCGCGGCCUAUCAGCUUGUUGGUGAGGUAAUGGCUCACCAGGGCUUCGACGGGUAGCCGGCCUGAGAGGGUGACCGGCCACACUGGGACUGAGACACGGCCCAGACUCCUACGGGAGGCAGCAGUGGGGAAUAUUGCACAAUGGGCGCAAGCCUGAUGCAGCAACGCCGCGUGAGGGAUGACGGCCUUCGGGUUGUAAACCUCUUUUAGCAGGGAAGAAGCGAAAGUGACGGUACCUGCAGAAAAAGCGCCGGCUAACUACGUGCCAGCAGCCGCCGUAA